UCCCUGUUAGCUUAGCUGGUAAAGAAUCCGCCUGCAAUGUAGGAGACCCCAGGUUCAAUUCCUGGGUCAGGAA
rnacentral:tRNA from 1 species